AGUAAAUUGAUGAAUAAGAAUAGUAGCGGUUUUUGGUCGCUUCAGAGAGCUAGUGGUAGGUGAAAACUAGUGCGGACAAAAUCGUGAAUGGGCCUUAUGAGAGCAGCUGGCAUUCGCUAGUUGACGUAUUUCCUACGUUACAAGGAAGUGUUUUUAUAUUUGAAAUCAUUAUAUUGCUGUAAAAACACGCCAAGGUGGGAGUAUGCAAAUGCUUCAACAGAGGUGGCAACGCGGUAUCAAUCGUCCUCUAC
rnacentral:ncRNA from 1 species